UAACGAGAAGCAAAAGCUUGGGGUAAGAAAUUAAUAAGAAUCUUGAAUUAAUAAUAGUUGUAUUUGAGAAAGACAUUUCAAAAAAUAGGUGAAUCAGCAAUGAAAAGUUUGGAGAUGAAAUGGUCCAAAAGAUAAGGAGAUAGACAUAUGAGGUGUAUGCAGCCAAAAAUAUGCUCACCAGAUUUGCCACUAGUUUUGCAUCAUUCCAUAGAUUGUUUGUCACAAAUUAUGGACACACU
rnacentral:lncRNA from 1 species